GAUGAACGCUGGCGGCGUGCCUAAUACAUGCAAGUCGAGCGAACAGACGAGGAGCUUGCUCCUCUGACGUUAGCGGCGGACGGGGGAGUAACACGUGGAUAACCUACCUAUAAGACUGGGAUAACUUCGGGAAACCGGAGCUAAUACCGGAUAACAUGUUGAACCGCAUGGUUCAACAGUGAAAGACGGUCUUGCUGUCACUGAUAGAUGGAUCCGCGCCGCAUUAGCUAGUUGGUAAGGUAACGGCUUACCAAGGCAACGAUGCGUAGCCGACCUGAGAGGGUGAUCGGCCACACUGGAACUGAGACACGGUCCAGACUCCUACGGGAGGCAGCAGUAGGGAAUCUUCCGCAAUGGGCGAAAGCCUGACGGAGCAACGCCGCGUGAGUGAAGAAGGUCUUCGGAUCGUAAAACUCUGUUAUUAGGGAAGAACAAAUGUGUAAGUAACUAUGCACGUCUUGACGGUACCUAAUCAGAAAGCCACGGCUAACUACGUG
rnacentral:rRNA from 1 species